CCCCUGACUGACAGCGCGCGGGAAAGCGCUGGGCUGUAACCGCCAAGUCCCCCGACUCGGCCCUCCCCCGCCUGCCCUUCAGUCACCCCGGGCUCAGCCCACCCCCAGCUCUGUGAGGGACCCGCGGCCCCCGUAAUCGGUCUCUCUGGGGCCGCGCCUCAUUCCUCUGCAGGCCCAGCUGCCGAGACACUGCAGCCUUCCCAGCGCGCGCUCCCUGCGCCCUGGCACCAGCCGGCAGCCCUUUGCCGGGGGGAACUGAGGCUGCCUGUCCCACCCCACAGGGAUGUUUCCCGCACCCAGCGGUGGAACGCGAAGGGAAGUGGGUUCGCCUUGCCGAUUGGCCCAGUAGCACAAACUGCACUUGGAGACUGAGAGCUGAGAAAAACGCAGCAGUGAGCAGCAGGGGGAGAUACUGAACGAACUCUCAGUAAUCAUAGUGGUCUUCAUUGGAGGAAGAUGAGGGGUACCUCCUGGAAGUGUCAAUUCCCCAAGUACUGCAGAUGUUGGAGGGGGACUCAAGAUAGAAUUUGCACCCACAAGCUUUAGUAAAAAGGCAAAGACACAAAAUGUCAAGUUGAUUCAAUUGUAAUCUCGCUCUCGCUUUUGAAAUAAAAUUUCUGAUUGGA